GGGAACCAAUGGGGCAGCAGGGCUGGAACACUGCGGGAAACUGGGAUCGGUGGGGUGUCAGGGGAGGGGAGAACAUUCCAGGGAAUACACAAAUAUGGUGAAGGAGGGCUGGACUGGGGUGGAACCACUGUACAAAGCAAUGGAACUUGACCUCACACCCAGCCCUUUAAGGAUCCAGUGCCAGCUCUGGCUCAGCCCACACUGAGCAGGAUUCCAUCAGGCCUUGGGUCACAAGUGGUGGGAGCAGCUGGAAUGCAGGGCCCUGGAUUCCCUCUCCCCAGUCCAUUUGGGACCAUCUGGGCAAGGAUCAGCCAUGGGCGCAGGAAUCCUGCGGAUGUGCCUGGUGCUGAUGGCUGUGGUGGGCGCCAACAGCCGCUGAGGCCCUCGGAAAAACUGAAUUGUUCCUGAGGGCAGGGAAGAAACUCUCCUGAGAAGGAAUGAGUGUGAGGUCCAGAGUUCCUGAUGUGACAGCGAGAAGAAAAAUUCUCAAACUAAAGCCUAAUACAAAUGCACCAGUCUGUUCCUUGGUGUUUGCUUAUGGAUAAUACCUGCUACUGCGGCUAUACAUUACAAAAGCAUGUGAAAAGGCUUAUUUAGAAAUCAGGAGGCAGAAAUGCAUCAUCCCAGGCACCAAUCCAAGAGCUUGUGGAGGUGUGAGGGUGGUGUAACCUGUGACUUAGACCAUCUCAAGCUAUCAGCAUUUGCAAAACAGCAGAAAUAGAAAGUAUAGAACAGAGAUUGAUGCUGUAGACUGAAUCACACCCUGUGAUGUCUGAUGAAAACUCAACAACAGGAAUAACCUGUGGUUCAAAUUGAAAGCUACCACAGAGAGGACUCUCCACUGCAAUAAAGUGGAAGAACUGAAGAGCUGUGUCCAUUGACACCCAGGAGCCUGCACAGACUGGAACUCAUGGCCAGGGUGACAUUGCUACAUGACAGAGCUUUUUCAACCAACCAGAGAUUUCCACAGCAGGCUGCUUAGGGAGGAAGGCACUGCCAAUCAGCUCUGAAAAGUUUCUCCAGACAUAGCACCGCUGACAAGGACAUGGGGAAAUUUUUUCACCCUCAGGAACUUGCCUGUGACUGUCAGCUGAUAAAAGACUUUGUGAGAAUUACUGAAGCAACAUGUACUCCAUGUGGCAAUCUGUCCCCUCAUGUUGUACUGAAAUAAAACA